AGGAGGAACAGCCCCAGUGGCGGGGCCAGCUCUGGAGCCCUGGAGUCAGCUCCCGCAGUAGCUCCAGAGCUCUCCGUCUGCAGCGCCUGGAGGCUCCGGGGCGGG
rnacentral:pre_miRNA from 1 species